AGGAUGUGAGUGCUGAAUCCCUGAUGACUUGUCAGAAGGAGAAGUGUUGUGCACCACACACCACCAGUGAAGGAAGCUGAUUUCGCCUCCAUGAAAUGUGCUCUGCUCUGCUCCUCCACGCCCUUCUUCCAUGAUGUUUGUCUUGGAGCCAGCUGACCAUGGACUGAACCAACUGAAGCUUUAGAAUUUAUCAAAGUCCACGUUGGAGUAGAGCAAAGAUGCCAAGGGAAGAGGCGUAAAGGAUCCCAGAAGCGUCGUCACUGCAUGAUGUUCAUUUUCCUCCCAAGAUUCUAAUCUGGCUCUGGCCCCUGAAGGAGCAGCAGGACUGCGGAUCCAUGAGUUGUGCUGGGGCACAGUGGUCACACUUUGUCCCACCAGAGGGCAGCUGUCCACAUGGAACUAACCACCCAGCUUACUACAGAGAACGGAUCACGAGACAGGUUUUCAAGGAGCACUUCAAAUACUGGUCAAUCAGUAUUCAAAUUGUGUAAAAUGUGUAUUUAAACUUCAUGUCCUUGACUUGGCCCUGUACACUAUGCAGAACCCAGUAGGCAUAUAAUAAAUGCCAGCUGAACUGGAACCUUUGAAAAAUGUCAUUUAAAUGAAAGAAAAUCUGAACAUCAUUUAUACGUAUUUCCUCUGCCAUUUUGGGAGUUAAGGACCCAUUUGUUGAAAGCAAAGUAAGAGAUAGAGGAAUUCACAUUAGGAUGGAGCCAGGCUGGCAUAAAGUAACAACAACAAAAAUUCUGUUAUUCAGAUCCACACACCACAGGGUCAGAGAUGGAUUAAAUAAGAACAGUGCAUUUGGCAGCUGAAUGAAUGGGUCGGAGCGUGGGACUGUUGACUGUUGCUGAUUUUAAUGGCAGAUGAGGAACCAUUUUUAAAACAGAACUUGUGACAAUAACUGGAAGGGUUUUAAACUUCCUGGAGUGGAAACGCAGAGAGAGGAACACUCAGAACACACAAGGACCAGUUGGUAGAACUUCAGCAAUUUAUAAACCAAACAAAUUCCAGACAGGUUUCCAAGCCAGCUGAUUUGACAGAUGUUUUGUGCUAGAGUCUGGAUUGACAGAUUAAAUGUAGCACAUACCCAGGGCAGAGAACCGUCUUAACUGAUCUGUGUAAACUAAGUAACCCAGAGAUGUUGAAAUUUUUUCAGUGACCGAAGAGGGGUGUUCAGAAACUCUGGUGAAUAUUUGAGUUAAAAAUAAAAAUAUUUUUAUAGCAAAAGACACAUUGCCACUGAUCCCCUGUGAGAUAUUCAAUUCACUCUUGCUCCAAAUACACUUAUGCCAUUCUUCUACCACCUUCUGAAGCAGUUCUUGAAGUCUUCUUUCUGGAGUGUCUCUUCCUGGCUGUAUUGGUGUCCUGAACCAGUUCACAUGUUGAGGACAACUGGUGUCAAAAGUAUUUCCUAUGUGUCCUCAUUUACUUUAUUCUUCAGAUCUGGCAUCGUGGGAUUUCUGGGUCUUCCCCAAUUCAAAAUGACCCAGAGAAUUAAACAUUCUGAGUCAGUUGAGGACAUCAAGGCUGCCUCAGUAGCAAAACCAAAGACACUUGGGAAA